rnacentral:lncRNA from 1 species
GAGCUUGGAUCAAUGCUGAAGUCAUUUUCAUUGUAGUGAAAAUGUUGGUUCAAAUAAAUUUCUACACUUGCCAUUUGCAUGUUUGUUGCUUUCUAAUUAAAGAUGUUGGUUGCUUUAAGAUAUCCUAAAUUUGACUUUUUAUUUAAUUCUUUGCUACUUUACCCACAUUUUCUAGUCAUUUCUCUAACAAAAGAGGGCUUGCUGUUUUCUGAAUUUAAUAGUCCUUUCCAUCUUGACCUCUGUGUGACCAGAUAAUGUAAAAGGGCCUUUACAGUUCUCUUCCCUUUUUCUUCACUUUUCUUGAGCUACUUCUCAGGAUCUGUUGACACCUCAUCCAAAUCAGUCACUGGGUCUUAUAGAUGAUUUACAUUAGCACAAACUCAAGGUGCUGUCUUCUGGUCUACCUCUCUGUCCAUAUUCCUGAAUUACUGUGAUCAGUUAGCUGACUCUAGCAUCCACCUCCACUUCAGACAGUCCCCCAGGCCUGUGUGUACCUUACCGUGUUUUCCUGAACUGUGUGUACCUUACCGUGUUUUCCUGAACUGUGUGUACCUUACCGUGUUUUCCUGAACUGUGUGUACCUUACCGUGUUUUCCUGUGUGUACCUUACCGUGUUUUCCUGAACUGUGUGUACCUUACCGUGUUUUCCUGUGUGUACCUUACCGUGUUUUCCUGAACUGUGUGUACCUUACCGUGUUUUCCUGAACUGUGUGUACCUUACCGUGUUUUCCUGUGUGUACCUUACCGUGUUUUCCUGAACUGUGUGUACCUUACCGUGUUUUCCUGAACUGUGUGUACCUCACCGUGUUUUCCUGAACUGCUCCAUAGACAUGACCUCUUCCACCUCCUACGUUGUCUGUCUGUGCCCCUCAAUCCAAUUACAUCUGUACAUUUCUCCAACCUACUUACAAAAAUAAAGUCUUUUCUCAGCACCAGGUUAUUGGUUAUAUACGUUCUAAUGUCACCCCCACAAGCAACCAUAGCUGCCAGCCUCUUCCAGAAGCCAGAGCUGCCAGAUGGGAGAGAAGCAGGUGCUGCCUCCUGAUACCUUACAGAUAAAAGUUCCUGGGCAGGCAGAGUGCUGUACCUGUUGUUUAGUGCGACAAAAGGACUACUUCAAAAACAGGAGUCUCUCUCUCUCUCCCUCCCUCUCUCUCUCUCUCUCUCUCUCUCACACACACACACACACACACACACACACACACACACACACACGCAUGCGCACACAGCUUUUGCUGUUCCUGGCUUAUAGGCAGGAUAAGACAUGAGUCUCUUUGAGAGGAUGUCUUUGGUUUUCUAGUCAGUGAACUCUUGGCAUCUGUCUCACUUACAAAGGACAGCCGCUCAGCUCAGCUGCUUUUCUGUGACCUUUAGUUAAGCCAGUAACUGCCUUCACUAUCCCUCCUUGCCAGCCAGCAGUUAGAGAAGAAAAUGAACCAAGUGCUUGGGCUGGUCAUUGCACACAUCUUAACACAGCCAUGCUAUACUACCAAAACUAGAACACCGAUGCCGCAGAGAAAGUGUGGAGUUCCCAAGGCCGAACUGUAGGUCCAUGUUGUAUCUCAUCCAUCACCUUCAGUGCUAGCCUUGAGCUCUAGCUCUGGACCACAGCUGGAAGCGGCUUCCAGACCCUGCAGAGCUGCCUGACCGAUGAAAGGCAGAGCAGAUCUGACAGUCUGCCACACUCAUCUCAAGCACAGGCCCUCUCUGUUGGUGCUUUUAGUGUAUUUGCUAUGCCAGCUGCUUUUCAUUAAAAGCAGUUUACUUUUGGGCUAAUUAGCAGGUAGCUUAACUAUUCCUGUUAUUUUCUAUGACCUAAAUAUCCUGCCAGAAGAAAUGACUGAACCAGACACUGAGGUAGACAUAAACUUUCUCCAGCUGGGCCACGAACCGUCAUGAAGAUGCAGCAACAGAGGCAUUUCUAUGGGGAAUAUGGACCUCUUACCCACAAGUUGGCUGCAAACUCAAAAUCACCUGCUGCUGGCAGAAGAUAGAUAGCUUUGUCAUGGAAAGUAGGGGUGACUUUAGGCCAGCAGCAUGGAUUUGCUAGAGGGCAGAGGGUGCUGGAUAAUUGCUAGGCAAAGAUCAGAACAAAACCAAAGGGCAAGUGUCUACACUGUCCCUGUACACUGAUGGAGAUAUGGGAACUGUGUGUGUUCUGUUCAUUUUCCUGGAGUAGGCCAGCUAGAUAAAUAGUUAAGGAUACAUAGCAAAGACAAAAUUUUGUCCUGGCCACUACAGGAUUCAGUGGAGAGAGAGUGUAGUGGCAGAGAGGAGACUGGCCCCAGGGUUCUACACACUC